AGCGUUUGUUUUGCAGUGAGCCAUUAUAGAGGCUCAGCAGUCAAGCACACUGUUGUUUUUCCAACCUUCCACAUCAGCCACAUCAGACAGCGAUUCUUGACCUUUGACAUGGAGGCAGGCAGACAUGGAAGAAGGUGUAGACCUUAGUGACCUGCCUGCCCUGAUGGAUUCAGACGACCAUGAAGAUGAAAUGUUAACAGAUGACCCUCUUCCUCUCUCUCCUAUGCUCCUGGCUCCUGUACCUCCCACCACCCCAACCUCUGACAGCUCAGCAUAACACCAUCACCACCACCACCUCUCAGCCUUCCAGGGUGCUCACUCUCUUCUCCAUUCUGUUACAGGUCAUUGUUAGAAGGAAGGGAAGAAAUGAAGACAUGAAGGGGAAAUGGGACUGUUUACCAAGUGUAUCUUCACAAAGAGAGACAAGAAGAAGUGCUGAGUACCUUAAUGCCUGCGGAGUAUAAAUCACUUAAGAGGCAUGAGAAUUCUGCUCUAGCUUCUCAGAAGCCUGCUCAUUCAAAGUCUUUCAUGAAGGAGUCUGCUUCUGGAUCAUCGAGUGUCCUGGACCGCCUGACUCUGUUUACUGCCACUGUCUGAAAAUUGUUUGGUAAUGUCAUCUCAGAAGCCUGUACACCAGCGGCCACUCUGGAAGUAUCAAUACUUAAAAGUCCUUGGGACAGAUCUUUCGACGAGUCUCUGAGAUUGUCCUUCUUGACUGAAGACAUAAACUCUGGUGUGGGGCUUAUAUCAGUUUUACGAUAAACAUCAGUAUAAAAAGAAACUACCUAUAGAUGGCAAAAAAUGAAUUGUUGUGGGUAAUGUAUUAUAAUAACCAAUAAUAUCAUAAUGGAGGAGAGGAGAAUUCUCUAUUGGGUGCACUAUACAACUAUUUCA